CAAAGUGGAUAGUGUUUAUGACGUCGAAUAUCGACGUCAUAAACAUCAAAGUUGAUCGUGUUUAUGACGUCGAAUAUCGACGUCAUAAUCACCAAAU
rnacentral:miRNA from 1 species